CCUACGGGAGGCUGCAGUGGGGAAUAUUGGACAAUGGGCGCAAGCCUGAUCCAGCCAUGCCGCGUGAGUGAUGAAGGCCCUAGGGUUGUAAAGCUCUUUCACCGGAGAAGAUAAUGACGGUAUCCGGAGAAGAAGCCCCGGCUAACUUCGUGCCAGCAGCCGCGGUAAUACGAAGGGGGCUAGCGUUGUUCGGAAUUACUGGGCGUAAAGCGCACGUAGGCGGAUAUUUAAGUCAGGGGUGAAAUCCCGGAGCUCAACUCCGGAACUGCCUUUGAUACUGGGUAUCUCGAGUAUGGAAGAGGUGAGUGGAAUUCCGAGUGUAGAGGUGAAAUUCGUAGAUAUUCGGAGGAACACCAGUGGCGAAGGCGGCUCACUGGUCCAUUACUGACGCUGAGGUGCGAAAGCGUGGGGAGCAAACAGGAUUAGAUACCCCAGUAGUC
rnacentral:rRNA from 1 species